rnacentral:rRNA from 1 species
CACGUAGGGACCGAGCGUUGUCCGGAUUUAUUGGGCGAAAGAGCUCGUAGGCGGUCGCGUAAGUCGGGUGUGAAAUCUCCAGGCUCAACUUGGAGGGGCCACCCGAUACUGCACGACUCGAGUCCGGUAGGGGAGUGGGGAAUUCCUGGUGUAGCGGUGAAAUGCGCAGAUAUCAGGAGGAACACCGGUGGCGAAGGCGCCACUCUGGGCCGGUACUGACGCUGAGGAGCGAAAGCGUGGGUAGCAAACAGG